GAAUGUGUUUAUGAAUCGUGACGCCACUCCUUAAUGUUCACAGGCACUGUUUUUACUUUGUUAGGUCAUAGUGUUAAAAUUGCUGUGAGCUGUCCUGUCAGUACAACAUAAACGGUCUUUAUAUGAACCCUGAGCAGUACAGAAGCAAAGAUCAGGCACCGAGACUGGAGUCACUUCUGAUCAAUAGGAUUGGCUACACAAUGAAGUUCACUUAUCCAAGUGCCUCAAACUUUAUGGAGUGAAGGUUCUUUUGAAGACCCUAACCUAGAGUUACACACUGACUAUGCUUCUUUGCGGGAAUGGGACCCGUUCUCGGGGCUUCACGACCGGCCGUUAUUCGACAUGCCAAGGGUGCAGCCUGAGAGCUUCGCUUGCCUUUGGAGGUCCGAGAUUUCAUGACUCUGGAGACAGGGAGAAUCGAGGUGUCUUGGCAGGAGAUUGGUGUGUCGUGGGAGUCGGAAGAUCUAAGGCUGCGUGCCCAGAGACCUGAGAUCUUUGGGCACAGGGCUCAGAAAAAGCAACACAACAGACUUUUAACAUUGUAAACCAGUGAGUUGUUUGUUAUGUUUGCCCUCUCGCUGUGAAACUGAGAUACCUCUUUCUCCCUUAUUAGGGAGAGAGAAAGCCUGUGGUAUGUCGAACGAGUAGUCUUUAGGGUACUGCAAGUCUGUGUCUUUGCUGUUGCUUGCUGCAUGC